GACGAACGCUGGCGGCGCGCUUAAUACAUGCAAGUCGAACGAGAAGCCUGGUGCUUGCACCGGGUGGACAGUGGCGAACGGGUGAGUAACACGUGAGUAACCUGCCCCGGAGACCGGGAUAACCCGAGGAAACUCGGACUAAUACCGGAUGUCUUCACCGGACCGCAUGAUCUGGUGAAGAAAUGGUCCGCCGCUCCGGGAUGGACUCGCGGCCUAUCAGCUUGUUGGUGAGGUAACGGCUCACCAAGGCGACGACGGGUAGCUGGUCUGAGAGGACGAUCAGCCACACUGGGACUGAGACACGGCCCAGACUCCUACGGGAGGCAGCAGUAGGGAAUCUUGCGCAAUGGGGGAAACCCUGACGCAGCGACGCCGCGUGCGGGAUGAAGGCCUUAGGGUUGUAAACCGCUUUCAGCAGGGACGAAACUGACGGUACCUGCAGAAGAAGGCCCGGCCAACUACGUG
rnacentral:rRNA from 1 species